rnacentral:rRNA from 1 species
ACGGGGGUGCAAGCACGGCGGCGAAAACCUUCACACCUGGAGGCCAACUCCCGAAUGAAGGGAAUUCCCUAGUGGCUAAGCACAUUAGUGUUAGCUUUUUCUUAAAGCGUAGAUAACUUAAGGAAUAAGGGCUGGGUAAGACGGGUGCCAGCCGCCGCGGCAAUACCCGCAGCCCAAGUGGUUGGUCGAUUUUAUUGAGUCUAAAACGUUCGUAGCCGGUUUGGUAAAUCCUUGGGUAAAUCGAGAGGCUUAACCUUUCGAAUUCCGAGGAGACUGCCAAACUUGGGACCGGGAGAGGCGAGAGGUACUUCUGGGGUAGGGGUAAAAUCCUGUAAUCCUAGAAGGACCACCGGUGGCGAAGGCGUCUCGCUAGAACGGAUCCGACGGUGAGGGACGAAGCCCUGGGUCGCAAACGGGAUUAGAUACCCCGGUAGUCCAGGGUGUAAACGCUGCAGACUUGGUGUUGGGGGCCCUACGGGGGCGUUCAGUGCCGGAGAGAAGUUGUUAAGUCUGCUACUUGGGGAGUACGUCCGCAAGGAUGAAACUUAAAGGAAUUGGCGGGGGAGCAC